UACAAUGCAUGAAAAGAGACCGCUGAUCUCUCUCAGCACAAAAGUACGAUGUGCAUCAAUAUUUUAACAUGCCGCGUGUCGUGAAUCCGGGAGGGGCCCUGGGCUCUCCGAUGUUUUUUUUUUCCGAACGCCAUCCUGACUCCUCUCGAAGGUUCCCGACCCCUCGCGGACGCUCGCCUCUUCCGUGCUCUCCUCGCCGUCACCUCCCGUCGGUCUCCGCCAUGGCCUUCCUCCCCAUCGCCGCCGGUGUUGAUAAUGGUCAAUAGUGAGGUGUGGAGGUGCAGAAAUCUCCAACGUUUUUUUUCUUUUUUUUUUUUUCAUCUGAAGGAGAUUGGAGGGGGUGGGGGAGACGUGGGAGGUGUCCGGGGCUGGGGAGGGGAGGCGAGGGGGGUUGGUGGCGCCGGAGCUGGGGGAGGGGAGGUGGUUUGGCGGUCGCGCGGAGCCAGGUGCGGCGCGGACGACGGUGGGAUGGGGUCGCAGCGCGGAUGGCGCGGACGGCCGCGACCUGGGCCUCACGCGGUGGGGGCGGGGCGGGGGUGUGGGGCGGGGGAAGGCGGUGGGAGGAAGGGAAGGGAAGGGGAAAAAAGAAAGAAAAAAAAAAGAAGCCGCUGCCCUCCUUGCCGCCGCCGCUGCCCGCCGGUCUCCGUCGGUGCCUUUCUCCCCAUCUUCAUCGGCGUCGAGCCCCAUAGAUCUCCGAAAAAAGAAGAUGCCGAUCUCAUCUCUACUCUCCUUGCCGCCACCUCCCGCCGGUCUCCGCCGUCGCCUUCCUCCCCUCUGAUCUCCUCAGUGCUUUGAGGCCGCGAGGUGAGCAGAGGUAUAAAGAUGGGUUAUUGCGCUUCGGUUCAGGAGAAUCCGGACUCCACCAUGGGAUUUCUACUGGGUUUAGGCUCCCAGGCCAAGAGAUUCUUCAUUCCCUCCCCUGCCAACGAGAAGUCUUUGAAUGGUCAGAGCUCGGUUGGUGGAUUCGAUUUCAAGGGCAAGGUGGUGGACUCGGGAGCAGGUCUUGGGAGCCCAGAGUUCGUUUGCUCGAGAAAAAACUCAGAGAAUUGAGCCACGAAAGGUGAGUUGCAUUUUUUUUUUUGUUAGUUGGUUUGAUCGUUCAUUAUGUUUUGUAUUUCUUCAUUAGCUUAAUGAAAUGAUGUCGGUGCGAAUCUGACAAUUUCUAGAUUUUGGGAGGGGAGUUCAAUGCAGCAUAACGAAGUUGAGGUUUAAUAUACGAACUUGAGGUUCGAUACAAUACAACGAAGUUAUCGGCUGCACUUAGCUGAGCUUAUUAAGCAUGGCAACUGUAUUAUGGAUGAGGUCCGUCUUCUUUAUCUUCUUGAAAAUGUCAUCGGCAUCUUUUGGUGGAGACUCGGGCAUCAUGGAGUUGGAUCCAGAUUGUUUCAUUUGCUUUUGAGGAGCUUCCUCCACCUUUCCAUCAUGGUCGACAUCAUCAAGAUUCAAUUUUUUGAAGAGGAUAGAUGGAGAACACAAACUUUGGAGGUGGCAUUGGCGGCAAGCCUAAGAGAUCAAGGUACAAAAGGUUUCACAGGGUCAGGGGACAAACAUCACCCCGUCUCCAGAUCCAGUCGUCAGAAUGCUCUGCCACGAAAGCCGUAACCCAGUUUGCUGCUAUGUUUGCCUCCUGGUAGACAUGCCGCACCUAGACUGCAGCAGCAUGAUAAAGAGAAGUCCAGACAUCCCGAAUAAGUGGGUGAGCCUCCAGGUGCUUCGCCCCUCUCUGGAUCCAAAUGAUGAUGGUAGCACUGGACUCUUCUCUUUAGCCCCGCCAUAGAAAAAGGAAAAUAUUUUGCAGAAUUCAAAUUCUACGAAAACUAGCACUCAACCCCCAUGUUGGGGGGCUUUAAUCGAUAAUAAUAAUAAUAUUUUUUUAUGCUAUUAAUAUUAGUAAGUCUAAAAUCAAUGAUGCGAUAAGGUAGAUUUAUAGAAUAUAUUCUAUAAGCAUCAAAAUGACAUAAAGAAGAAAGCUCUGCUUUCUUGAAUUUUAUCCGGACAAUUCUAAUAUAUGAAUUCGCAGCAUAAAACUUAGAAGUAACUUGAGAAAGAAAUUGAUACUCUUAAAAAAAAGGAGAAAGAAAUUGAAAAUUAGAAAGUUAGUAAGUUUAUUAAAAAAAAGAGAUUAAGAAAAGAAUGAAACAAACUUUGAUCCAUGAUAACUUUUAAAGUAGUAAGCUUGGCAUAUUUCAAACAAAAAGAACAAUCUUUAAUAUGAGAUUUACAAUACGUUGAAAAGAAAUUUGGUCGAAGAAAAAUAAAUUAAAGAGUUGAUACAUCAAUAUAGUUUCAAUUAUUUAGUGUAGUAUUUUAUUAAUAUAUUAUUAAAAAAAAUAUCUAACUGUCUACACUUUUGCAGAACAUGACAUUCCUCUCUUCGUGAUAGGCCAUUGCAUUAUGCAAAACAUAUUGCCCUUUCAAGUGUAGCAAAAAGAAUGUAAUAAGUAAAAAUUCAAUCAUUAUCACAAGAAUAGUGCCCCAUAAAUUGAAAAUUUUAUAGCUUCAGAAGAAUCCUUUAGACCAAAAAUUCCCAAACCCUAGAACAUAUCAUGCUUCUACCAAGACUAAGCUCUCAAAAUCUCCGGAGACUAACUCACGCAGCCACAACUCGCACAAAAUCCCAUGUCCUUGAGAAAAACCCAAUCAGAACCCAAGAAACCCCUCUAAUCUCUCUCAAGUGCUCUCCUUUCCCAUAGAUCUCUGGAAAAGUUAAUGAAAUGAAAAGAAAACGAAGCAAAAAGAAAAAAAUGAUCAUCUAUGUGGGGGAAAGGUCUUACCCUUAAUUUGUUUCUAUCUUGUCCUCGUUAUAUCAUGCUCCUACCAAAAUUAAGCUCUCAAAACCUCGUGAGAUAAACUCACACCGCUAUAACUCGAACAAAAUCUCAUAUGCUUGAGAAAAAAACCCAAUCAGAAUCUAAGAAACCCCUUUAAUCUCUCUUAAGUGCUCUCCUCUCCCACAGAUCUUUGACAAAGAUAAUGAAAAGAAAAAAAUGAUCAUCUUAUUUCACUCAUUUGGCAACCACAACAUCUUUCAGUUCUCUGUAUAAUCCCAAUAAAGAAUCCUUUUCACAAAACUUCAUAAUGCACCAAUAGGUAAAAUUUAAAAAUUUUCAUGUUUUACAGAAGCCAAUUGUUAGAAGAUAAUAAUGUAUAACCAUGUGCAUUAAUGGAUCAUAUCAAUUAUGCAUGGGUUUAUUCUGACCAGAUUAAGAUGAAAUUAAGUCAAAGUCAGAUAUGUCUAAAAUUAUCAUAUUUUGUCACGCCAAUAAAGAUAACCGGAAAACAGGAAGAGGAGCAUAAAUACACUACGACAGGAACAUUGGUUGACAAUACAUCAAACUAAUAUAUGCAUGCACCAAAAUUGAUGCAACAUUACAUGACUCCAUAAUGUAGAUUAUCCUAAAUGACAGUCACAUGCAGAAUGACAGCUACCAUGAAUGAACAUCCUCCUUAUUUUUUUGGUUGCAAACAUUCUCCCUAUUUACUCCAUGCUAUCUAUCACUGGGAAAAAAAAAGUCAUGCAGAGGCCCAACCAGCCAUACAUAAGAAUCGUAUGUCUCAACAAACAAAUCUAAUGUAAAAAUAGAAUUUCUUCUAAGCCACUUCUGUAGGUUUUUCACCCUCUUCUCUGAUUGGAAAUACAAAAUGAAAGUGGAAACUUACCAUGACAAAAAGGGUCUGGUUCUAAAUAAUUAUCCUAAUUAUUCUUAAGCUUUCUUUUACCAAGAAACAGCUACCAGGUUACUGAUUCAUUUUCAACUGCCUGACAAAGUAACCUUCAUCAUGAAUAAUUCUGGAUUAACAUCCCUUUUUGGUGAAACUUUUCAAUAAGAAUUAUGUAUGCCCAAUCUUUUUCAACACAAUGUUCCUAUGUCAAUUCCAUACUCUCUGACUACAGCAAGUUUUUGUCUAUAACAUUCAUUAGUCAUGUAUUUUGAAUGCUUCACUAAACCCAAAUCAUGAUCUGUGUCUCCUAACUUGAAUAUGAUAUAAGACACUUAUAGAUUCUGUUUCCUAGUAAGGCAGCACCAAGCUCGAAAAACUUUGCAAUAACAAUCAACUGGAGCUAAAGACUCCGUGGGAGCUUAAAAAUUGUUUAAUCAAGUUCAUGCAUUUGCCACACAAUUGAUACAUGGAUAUCUGGCAACACAAAUAUUUGAAACACACCAAUUUUUUUCCGUUUUCCCUUUGUUAUAUCAUGCUUCUACCAAGAUCAUCUACGUGGGGGAAAUCCCACAAAAUCCCAUAUGCUCGAAAAAAAACCCAAUCAGAAAUCCCUCUAAUCUCUCUCAAGUGCUCUCCUUUCCCACAAAUAUCUGAAAAAGAUAAUGAAAAAGAAAAAAAUGAUCAUCUACGCGGGGGAAAGGUCUUAUCCUUAAUUGUUUUUCCAUCUUUCCUUCGCUUUUCUUAUUUUUUUUUCUAUUUUUUCCUUUUUUUCUGUCCUCAUGAGUUCCAAUCGGGUGGGAAGCUUAGAGUAGCUAAAUAGGGAAGGUUAGACAAUGAAAAGGAAAAAAACCAACGAAAUUUCAUGCUUCUACUAAGAUUGAGCUCUCAAAACCUCUUGGGACCAACUCACAUCGCUACAACUCAAACAAAAUCCCAUUUGCUUGAUUUUCUUUUAUUUUUCCAUCCCCAAGAGUCUCAAUUGGGUGGGAAGCUUGAAGUGGCUGAACAAAAAAGUUUAGACGAUAAAAAUAAUCAAUCUCUAAUAAAUAAAUUUAACACGUGGCAUGGUGGAAGGUUAUUUUAUCUUCUUACGUGUCAAUACGGAAUAUCAUCUUUAAUAUUCAUAUAUUAUUUUAUUAUUAUAUAGAUAAAAUUUUUAUAAUUUAGAUUUUAAUCUAUUAAAAAAUAUUCAUUAUAAUGAUGAUAUCACGUUAAAUCUAUACAAAUUAAUAAAAAUUUUUAUAUUUUAUCGAUUGUCGUGUAUUUUAUCGAUUUUAUAGGUAAUAUUUUAUAUUAUUUUUUAUAUUUUAUUCAUUUUUGAUUGCUCAUUAAUUUUUUUAUAUAAAUUAAUAAAAAUUUUUAUAUUUUAUCAAUUAUCAUGUAUUUCAUCGAUUUUGUAGAUAAUACCCCACAUUAUCUUCUGUAUUUCACUCAUUUUUCAUUGCUCAUUGGUUUGGUACAACGGUGACGCGGUAUCACCGUUGCAAUGAAAAUUUACUCCUCACUCGACCCUUCUCCACCUCGACCAUAAUUAAUCUCUGCCUUGAUCUCUCACCUCUUCCUUCUCCCGAGACCGAUCUCUACCUUCUCUCUUGAUCCCUCCUCUCUUGCGCUCGCCUCCUUCUCGACCUCGUCUCCGAUCUCCUCCCCAGUCAAAACCCUAAUCCCUUCCAGGUCCCUGUUCAAACCCUAGAAACUCCAAUCUCCUUUCCCUCCAACCUCCCUCGAAAGUCUAACCUCUCGAAUCUCUCUUUGACGCCAUAACCCUCCUCUUCCACCCCCUCUUGGAACCCCUUGACCCUCCCCUCUCAAGCUCUCGAAUCCCGAACACCACCGACGCUACCACCUCCGAGCAUCUCCGUCGACCUCCAGCGUGGUGACCCCUCUCUUACUCUCCCUUCUUCACUUUUCGCUCUUGGUUCUCUCUCUUCUUCAUAUUUAAGAAAGAGCGACGCCAGAGAGAGCUAGGUCAAAGGGUUAGGGUUCUGACCUCUCACUUCUCGAUUCUGGGUUUGGGCUUCUAUGGCGAGAUCUUUCGGGAGGGUGGGGGGGCGUUGUGGAGAUGGAUUUUGGGUUUUUGUGGUAGGUAUUUGGCGGAUGGUUGGAGUCGAGAUCUGGUUUAGGGCUCGAGUCGUCUGCUUGCGUGAAGCUUGAAGAGAGGAUUUUGGUUCCUCUGGGUCUUGAGAUGAGCUCUGCAGCAUGGAGGAUGGAGAGAAGAAAUCAGCCUCCUUUGAGCUAAGGUAUCCAUUUUGGAGAAAGAGCAUACAGGAUUUUCAUUCCACCAUUGAUGCCUUACAAGGAGAAUAAACCAGCAAAUGAUCAGCUAUGGGGAACUCAAUUGACAUAGUAAUUGCAUUCUUGCAGAAAUAGACAACCCAGAUUUGAGUUCAUUGUCUUGAACUGAUGCAGCAUAGAUAUGUAUGUCCAAGGUUCGGGAGGGUCGGCCUUGAUCUGCGGCAUGCUGGGGCACGCGGGUGUUUGGGUAUGCAGAACAUUCUGCCCAUGACAAUUGGGUGACAAACUUGGGCUCACAAGCCCAAAAGCACAGGUUUGAUCCCCAGGACAGCCACUUUGUGACAGAAAAAGAAGAAGAAGAAGCAGCAGCAGCCAAGAUUAGAUGCUUCUCCAGUUUCUUGGAUGCUGGGAUAUAACUGGGAAUGUGAUUUUAUAUGAUUAGAAGCAUCAUGGUUGGGUUUGGAUCUCCUUCAAAUAACGUGGGAAACUUUGGACUUUUUGAUGUGCUUGAUUCCUUUAUCAUUUAAUUCAUCUGUUUAGAGCUAGUCUGGGUAGCCGAACAAUCAUUUCAUUUAUUUGCUUCGAUGGGUUUGAUUUCUGCGCAAAAAUGUAUUCACUGAUUUCAAUUUAAUGGUUCUGUUAUGUGCUUUUGAAAGCUCUAUAUCCGUGCAAUGAGGUUUUUAGCCAUUCUUGUUUCAUAUGCAGGAAAUGCUGAGGGAUGAGUCACAGGUUGGAUAAAGCCACCAGCUACUGAUUCAAAGCCAGGAACCAAUGAGUUUUCAAUUGAGAUUGAUAUGUUUUCAAAUGAUACCCAAAUCUUGUUCAACUGAUGGGGUGCUGUGUUGAAGGCAGUACAGGAUUUUUGUUUGUGUACCAAGAAUAACAGUCUAGCAAAUGCUCUGAUUGAAGCCAUCUGGGAUGUCUGGUCGAUUACCCCAAAAGAGCUGCAGUACUUCUACGCUCUGCUAUGUUGUUAUGAAUAAAAGGCUUAUGGAGGCAGAGCCCAUGACCAUGGACAGUGCAGCUUGAGUUUAUAACAUGACUUGGGGUCUGUAGGCGGUUCCUUUUUUAUCUGGUUAAGCUGCAUACUUUUGGAAUUAUAAGUUAGAUUCCUAGAGAAAUUGUUACAAUGUUAUAUUCAGUGGUACUGAGUAAUGAUCUAUCAAUAUGCUGAAAACAUUAACCUUCUGUUAUUAGUAUUUGAGAGAGUGCAAAACUUGAUCUUGCAGGUUCUCUCAUUGAUUGGCCACUUGUAGUUUCAUCAAGUGUAACGGCUGUCUCUCUGUUUGCUUGUUUUCAGAUAUAAAAAAUAGAAAUUCCCUUAUACUUCUUUUCUA